rnacentral:rRNA from 1 species
AGCAAAUCUCGCACUUGUGUGGGAGCAUUUAUUAGACUCAACCAACUGGCUACGGCCAUUUGAUGAAAUCCUAAUAACUGAGCAUAUCGAACAUUAAUUUGUCGAUAGUCCGAUCGAAUUUCUGCCCUAUCAACUAGUUGGUGAGGUAGUGGCUCACCAAGGUCGUGACGGGUAACGGGGGAUCAGGGUUCGAUUCCGGAGAGGGAGCCUGAGAAACGGCUACCACAUCUAAGGAAGGCAGCAGGCGCGCAAAUUACCCAAUCCAGACUUUGGGAGGUAGUGACGAGAAAUACCGGAGUAGACCGUUUAUUGGUUCACUAUCGGAAUGAACGUAAUCUAAUACCUCCGAUGANUUAGCUAUUGGANGGCAAUUCUGGUGCCAGCAGCCGCGGUAAUUCCAGCUCCAAUAGUGUUAUAUCAAAAUUGUUGCGGUUAAANNNNNNNNNNGAUUAAAAGGGGAAANUUGGGGGGGUUAAUAANUUGGUGGGGGAGGGGNGGAANUCCUUAGNACCCCCCAAAGACUAAUUAAUGCGGAAGCCAUUUCGCCAAGAGUGUUUUCAUUAAUCAAGAACGAAAGUUGGAGGUUCGAAGACGAUCAGAUACCGUCCUAGUUCCAUACAGUAAACUAUGCCAACAUGGGAUUAGCCCGGUUAAAUCCAGGUUGGGCCCUCAGUGAAAACAAGUGUUUUGGCUNUGGGGAGAGUGCGCGCGCAAGCGGUAAAUUUAAAGAAAUUGACGGAAUGGCACCACCAGGAGUGGAGCCUGCGGCUUAAUUUGAUUCAACACGGGGAAACUCACCAGGUCCAGACAUUGAUAGGAUUGACAGACUGAGAGAUCUUUUCAUGAUUUGAUGAUUGGUGGUGCAUGGCCGU